rnacentral:misc_RNA from 1 species
AAUGUGGGGGGCUUGCCCCCGAUGGUGGUGGGUCAGUCACAGUUGCAUUUACUGACACACCCUCAUCGGGGGCAAGCCCCCUCCCAC